GAUUGAGAAGAACAGGGACAUUUUAGAGGAGUGGGGGCUUCAUGGGUUAGCGUGAAUAUGCUCUGCCACUUGAUAAAAUGGUAGUACCAUGACUAUCCCAGAAUUACUAGGAGUAUGACAUCUGACUGUGUUUUCUUGAUUGAAAAAUAGGCCAUUAAAUGUUAAAAUAAAUGAAUAAAAAGGGCAAAUCACUUCCCACCAUAGGUUGAGUCAACGUCUGAGUGUUCAUACAGCCUCAAAACCAAGUUGCAGGUAACGUACCAUAGAGUGAU
rnacentral:lncRNA from 1 species